rnacentral:rRNA from 1 species
UACGAAGGGGGCUAGCGUUGCUCGGAUUUACUGGGCGUAAAGCGCACGUAGGCGGAUCGUUAAGUGAGGGGUGAAAUCCCAGGGCUCAACCCUGGAACUGCCUUUCAUACUGGCGAUCUUGAGUCCGGAAGAGGUGAGUGGAACUCCUAGUGUAGAGGUGGAAUUCGUAGAUAUUAGGAAGAACACCAGUGGCGAAGGCGGCUCACGUGGUC